GAUGAAGAACGUAGCGAAAUGCGAUAAGUAAUGUGAAUUGCAGAAUUCCGUGAAUCAUCGAAUCUUUGAACGCACAUUGCGCCCCCUGGUAUUCCGGGGGGCAUGCCUGUCCGAGCGUCAUUGCAACCUUCAAGCGCGGCUUGUGUGUUGGGUCUCGUCCCCCGUGGACGGGCCCGAAAGGCAGUGGCGGCGUCCCGACAUGGUGCCCGAGCGUAUGGGAAUCCUCUUCCGCUCGAAUCGGCCCAUGCGGCGCUGGUCGUAACCAAAUUUUUUACCGGUUGACCUCGGAUCAGGUAGGGAUACCCGCUGAACUUAAGCAUAUCAUAAGCGGAGA
rnacentral:misc_RNA from 1 species